rnacentral:lncRNA from 1 species
GAAGGAAUUACGGCGGGCCUACUUCAGGGCAACAAAGGGACGACAAGAUUCAGUCCCAACACUCCAUUUACUCCCGAGAUAUUAACAUUCCCCUUGCCAGACAGAUUUAAGUAUCCUAGGAUCAAAGAAUAUGAUGGGACCACCGAUCCAAUCAAUCAUCUGAACAUAUACACGGACGUCAUGAAUCUACAGGUUGCACCAGAUCAUGUGAUGUGCAAGGCCUUCCCGUAAACUUUGACGAAU